CAACUGCAGACAGAAUGCUGUCCAAGAAGGACAAACAGGAUGCAGAGAAGUCUAUUGCCAAGCUUUGCAAGAACAAGAUCAAGGAGACCUGCACACUCUGAAGACAGUCCAAAGCUCACAACCAUCUUCAUAAUGUUCAUCAGCGAGUCGGCUAGAGGAUGAGGGCAUGUCCUUCCUGGGACUUUUUCUCUCUGUCCUCUUUAAAGAGCUCGCUCUUCAGAAUGGACUUCUUUUCAUGACACAUAAGAGACGUCGGCAUCCUUUCUAACACUGUCCCGUGCGUGCUGGCCAUAAGACAGAAGGAGAUGAUUCUCUUCCAAGUCAUCACGUAUCCCUCGGCUUUUCCAGAUGUUGGCAGUCCAGUCCCUUUCCUGACCUGCUAUUGCAUGGGUUCCUUAAUUUACAAACUGUCCAUCUUUAGCCAGGCCCUCACCAGGCUGGCCAGUCUUAUAAAGAAAACCUUACCCACAUGCUGUUCUCAAGGGUGAACCCUGCAAGGUAGUCACAGUCCUUUGGACAAGACAAAGACAGGUUGGUCGGUAGAGGUCCUAUUGCUGCAAAGUGUAGACCCCCUUUAAAAAAUUUUAAAAUUAUUUGUAUGUAUUCAUGUGGGGAAUCUGAGUGUGUGUGUGUGUGUGUGUGUGUGUGUGUUACCUGCACAUGAAUAUACAGGCAUACAUGUCUGUAUGUAUGCACAUGGAGACCAGAAUACUAUCUUAAGUGUCUUUCUGGAUCACUCUGCCUUAUCACCUUGAAGUUCACUUUUCUGGGUCAAUGGAUUGUCACAAUCCACCUGUUGUUGCCCUGCAGUGGGGGCUUCAGACACGCCCAGCUCUCCAUGUAUGUGCCAGGGAUUUGAACUAGAGUCCUUAUGUUUUCAGAGCAAGCACUCUCACCGACUGAACCUUCUCCCUAGGCUGA